AAAAAAAAAAAAAAACGACUCGUUUGCGGCCGGCCCUAAUUUAUACAAUAAUAAGAAAGGGAGCAAUAAACUGUAUAAAAUUUCUUACUCGAAUCUAGCCUUGGUCGCCAUUUAAAACCAAACUUGAGAAAUUUAAAGACGUAGAAGACAGUUCUUAAAGUGGAUGAAGAAAGUAGGAAUAAAAAAUCUGGAUCAUUCGCUCACACACACUACUUCAUUUGGGUGGUUGCUGCGUGUGAUUAUGUGCAUUCACACCUGUGAUUGUCUGGAAGAAGGAAGGCGCCAGAGCGUUGUGCAGUAAAUUUAUUUUCGGACACUGUGACUGCUGUUUUUAUCUGCACGGUGCGGACAGCAGGGAGAAAGGAGCAUCUGUUUCACGUACCACUCCUGCAAGUGAAAAACUGACAAUUAAGAUCCAGUUACCGUGCAGAUGCAUCUCUUGGAUGACUCGCUCUUACCGGAUUAUUGAAUUUUAAUCCCAGAUUAUGAACUUCACGCACAUGAACACACACUACUGGGAGAGGUGAAAGCGUCUGUUGUUAUAGGGAAG
rnacentral:lncRNA from 1 species